CCGAGGAGGCAAGAGACUGAUCGGGAAUACUCUUCUUUUUCUUGCUCGAUUCUGCGGUAAUGGUUAUUCUCCCUCUAUCACUGUUGUUUUCUCUUUAUUCUAAGGUUCUUUAGGGUUUAGAGGUCUGUCCUUUUUUCGUUCGUUUCUUUUCCAGGAUCAGAUCAUCGCUGGCCCCAAAGCCUGUGACGAGCUCCUCGUCCGAUCUCGUUGUAUGUAGUCUUCACUGCGUUUUUUAUGCUCUCCGUUGGACUGUUCACGGGCAUGUUGCACGGAAAAACACAUAUGAGCUGGUGCAUGGCUUGAUGAGAUCUGGUGCGGACUAGUAUCGACAGAAGAAAACAUCUGUAUGUUGUAAUUUUGAGAUUGAGGUUGCAGGUAAAUUCUGUGCUUCUGUAUUAUUUCUUUCAUGUGCAACAGGUGGCCAUAGUUUUUCUUGGGAUUAGAAUGUAUGAAGCCAGCAAAGUUAGAAGGACCAUCUCCGGGAGAGAUUAAAACCAUGAAAGUUUCAGUAGUUGCACCCCAUUUCGAAAUAAUCAUUUAAGCUUCCCUUGAUGAGUGACAUUUUAUACGUCACUGCCCAUUCAUUCUUCACCAUCAGUUUAUCUCUCAUUAAUUCCGGUCCAAAUCUUUUUUCCGGCCGCUUUUUUUUUAUUUUUUUACACUAUUGAACCCAUUCUCAUGCCAAGUCCAUCUUCCAGUGGAAAGACUAAAAGCUAAAAACAGAACACAAACAGCUUCGUGAUUUAUUUGAAUUCCAACCUUUAAUGCAUGGGGAUACCUUCCAAGCUUUCUUGAUGAGGACUAACAGAUUUCGCUGUAUCGGUCGAUCCACAAAACAGCGUCCCUUCCUCGUGAUGUUCAGGAAUGCGGUAAUGAUAUCAGCACAACGGGCCAGCGGGGUUGGCGUACAGGUUGUGGUGCUCAGGAGAUAUGAAGCUGUUUGCUGAAUCGGUCGAGACAGGGUAGCUAUGCUUGCCCCAAACGAAGUCACAGACUACCACGUACGCACCACAAAUCGGUGAAUCUAAACCGUCCGUAGUGGUCGUGUGGUUAUGCUCGAGGCGUAUCCUAACUAAAACGUUGCCCACGAAUAGUACCGUCGGAUCGGAAAACGAAUCAUAAGGGUAGCUCCGAUGAUGAUGAUGCGAUGAGCCCGAGUGCAUGACGAGGAGAAGGCAAUGGUGGAGGCGGCAGCCAAGAACGGGGAUAGGAAGGCGACAAGGCAUUCCGAUGGGUGACAAGGGACGCGUCCGGUCUCUUCUCUUCUUCGCCUUCUCCCGGAGGGGUUUUGGGGAGCCACACUAUACUUCUCUGUUCCCUCCGUCAUGCAUAUUUAAUGGAAUUCGAUGCAUGUCCCAUUUGAAUAUCAUAGUUGGGUCAUGCAUAUAUAGAUGUAGAAGUUUGUGGUUGUGUGAAUGCAAUUCAGUUCAACUUGAUAAAUAGAUGUAGAAGUCAUGAAAUAUUUGCUUGGAGUUCAACUUGGAGUACAUGAACACUAAGGGAGGCCUUUGUUCUCGAUCCGAAUAUUUGCUUGAUCCAAAUAUUUGUUUAAAAUA